UUUCCGUAGGUGAACCUGCGGAAGGAUCAUUACAGUAGUCACCCAGGUUGCCGCAAGGCCUCCUGGGUAACCUACCACCCUUUGUUUAUUACACCUUGUUGCUUUGGCAAGCCUGCCCUCGGGCUGCUGGCUCCGGCCGGCGAGCGCUUGCCAGAGGACCUAAACUCUGUUUGUCUAUACUGUCUGAGUACUAUAUAAUAGUUAAAACUUUCAACAACGGAUCUCUUGGUUCUG
rnacentral:misc_RNA from 1 species